CCUACGGGUGGCAGCAGUGGGGAAUAUUGCACAAUGGGGGGAACCCUGAUGCAGCGACGCCGCGUGAGUGAAGAAGUAUUUCGGUAUGUAAAGCUCUAUCAGCAGGGAAGAAAAUGACGGUACCUGACUAAGAAGCCCCGGCUAAAUACGUGCCAGCAGCCGCGGUAAUACGUAGGGGGCAAGCGUUAUCCGGAUUUACUGGGUGUAAAGGGGGCGCAGACGGCUGUGCAAGUCUGGAGUGAAAGGCGGGGGCCCAAACCCCGGACUGCUCUGGAAACUGAAAAGCUGGAGUGCAGGAGAGGUAAGCGGAAUUCCUAGUGUAGCGGUGAAAUGCGUAGAUAUUAGGAGGAACACCAGUGGCGAAGGCGGCUUACUGGACUGCAACUGACGUUGAGGCUCGAAAGCGUGGGGAGCAAACAGGAUUAGAUACACGGGUAGUC
rnacentral:rRNA from 1 species